UACGUAGGGUGCGAGCGUUGUCCGGAAUUACUGGGCGUAAAGAGCUCGUAGGUGGUUUGUCGCGUUGUUCGUGAAAUCUCACGGCUUAACUGUGAGCGUGCGGGCGAUACGGGCAGACUAGAGUACUGCAGGGGAGACUGGAAUUCCUGGUGUAGCGGUGGAAUGCGCAGAUAUCAGGAGGAACACCGGUGGCGAAGGCGGGGUCUCUGGGCAGUAACUGACACUGGAGGAGCGAAAGCGUGGGGAGCGAACAGG
rnacentral:rRNA from 1 species